AGCGUACACGGUGGAUGCCCUGGCAGUCAGAGGCGAUGAAGGGCGUGCUAAUCUGCGAUAAGCGCCGGUAAGGUGAUAUGAACCGUUAUAACCGGCGAUACCCGAAUGGGGAAACCCAGUGUGACUCGUCACACUAUCAUUAACUGAAUCCAUAGGUUAAUGAGGCGAACCGGGGGAACUGAAACAUCUAAGUACCCCGAGGAAAAGAAAUCAACCGAGAUUCCCCCAGUAGCGGCGAGCGAACGGGGAGGAGCCCAGAGCCUGAAUCAGCAUGUGUGUUAGUGGAAGCGUCUGGAAAGGCGCGCGAUACAGGGUGACAGCCCCGUACACAAAAGCGCAUGUGCUGUGAGCUCGAUGAGUAGGGCGGGACACGUGGUAUCCUGUCUGAAUAUGGGGGGACCAUCCUCCAAGGCUAAAUACUCCUGACUGACCGAUAGUGAACCAGUACCGUGAGGGAAAGGCGAAAAGAACCCCGGCGAGGGGAGUGAAAAAGAACCUGAAACCGUGUACGUACAAGCAGUGGGAGCCCCACCACUAAGCCAGUGGUGAACUCCACAUACGCAUCCUUUGCUGAGGAUACGGUUAACGGAGCGAAAGCGACGUUCAACCUCAAAAGAAGCAGAGGGGGCUUAGUGGUGGGGUGACUGCGUACCUUUUGUAUAAUGGGUCAGCGACUUAUAUUCUGUAGCAAGGUUAACCGUAUAGGGGAGCCGUAGGGAAACCGAGUCUUAACCGGGCGUUAAGUUGCAGGGUAUAGACCCGAAACCCGGUGAUCUAGCCAUGGGCAGGUUGAAGGUUGGGUAACACUAACUGGAGGACCGAACCGACUAAUGUUGAAAAAUUAGCGGAUGACCUGUGGCUGGGGGUGAAAGGCCAAUCAAACCGGGAGAUAGCUGGUUCUCCCCGAAAGCUAUUUAGGUAGCGCCUCGUGAACUCAUCUCCGGGGGUAGAGCACUGUUUCGGCUAGGGGGCCAUCCCGGCUUACCAACCCGAUGCAAACUGCGAAUACCGGAGAAUGUUAUCACGGGAGACACACGGCGGGUGCUAACGUCCGUCGUGAAGAGGGAAACAACCCAGACCGCCAGCUAAGGUCCCAAAGUCAUGGUUAAGUGGGAAACGAUGUGGGAAGGCCCAGACAGCCAGGAUGUUGGCUUAGAAGCAGCCAUCAUUUAAAGAAAGCGUAAUAGCUCACUGGUCGAGUCGGCCUGCGCGGAAGAUGUAACGGGGCUAAACCAUGCACCGAAGCUGCGGCAGCGAACGUAUCACCCAAGACAACUUUACGGAGUUGACGAUUGACGGAGCGAAGCGACGUCAAAGCGUUCAUUAAAGUCGAGUUGGCUUAGGGAUACGUUCGUUGGGUAGGGGAGCGUUCUGUAAGCCUGCGAAGGUGGCCUGUGAGGGUUGCUGGAGGUAUCAGAAGUGCGAAUGCUGACAUAAGUAACGAUAAAGCGGGUGAAAAGCCCGCUCGCCGGAAGACCAAGGGUUCCUGUCCAACGUUAAUCGGGGCAGGGUGAGUCGACCCCUAAGGCGAGGCCGAAAGGCGUAGUCGAUGGGAAACGGGUUAAUAUUCCCGUACUUGGUGUUACUGCGAAGGGGGGACGGAGAAGGCUAUGUUGGCCGGGCGACGGUUGUCCCGGUUUAAGCGUGUAGGUGUGUGUUCCAGGUAAAUCCGGUUCACUUUAACACUGAGGCGUGACGACGAGGCACUACGGUGCUGAAGCAACAAAUGCCCUGCUUCCAGGAAAAGCCUCUAAGCAUCAGGUAACAUCAAAUCGUACCCCAAACCGACACAGGUGGUCAGGUAGAGAAUACCAAGGCGCUUGAGAGAACUCGGGUGAAGGAACUAGGCAAAAUGGUGCCGUAACUUCGGGAGAAGGCACGCUGACACGUAGGUGAAGUGAUUUACUCAUGGAGCUGAAGUCAGUCGAAGAUACCAGCUGGCUGCAACUGUUUAUUAAAAACACAGCACUGUGCAAACACGAAAGUGGACGUAUACGGUGUGACGCCUGCCCGGUGCCGGAAGGUUAAUUGAUGGGGUCAGCGCAAGCGAAGCUCCUGAUCGAAGCCCCGGUAAACGGCGGCCGUAACUAUAACGGUCCUAAGGUAGCGAAAUUCCUUGUCGGGUAAGUUCCGACCUGCACGAAUGGCGUAAUGAUGGCCAGGCUGUCUCCACCCGAGACUCAGUGAAAUUGAACUCGCUGUGAAGAUGCAGUGUACCCGCGGCAAGACGGAAAGACCCCGUGAACCUUUACUAUAGCUUGACACUGAACAUUGAGCCUUGAUGUGUAGGAUAGGUGGGAGGCUUUGAAGUGUGGACGCCAGUCUGCAUGGAGCCGACCUUGAAAUACCACCCUUUAAUGUUUGAUGUUCUAACGUGGACCCGUUACCCGGGUUGCGGACAGUGUCUGGUGGGUAGUUUGACUGGGGCGGUCUCCUCCUAAAGAGUAACGGAGGAGCACGAAGGUUGGCUAAUCCUGGUCGGACAUCAGGAGGUUAGUGCAAUGGCAUAAGCCAGCUUGACUGCGAGCGUGACGGCGCGAGCAGGUGCGAAAGCAGGUCAUAGUGAUCCGGUGGUUCUGAAUGGAAGGGCCAUCGCUCAACGGAUAAAAGGUACUCCGGGGAUAACAGGCUGAUACCGCCCAAGAGUUCAUAUCGACGGCGGUGUUUGGCACCUCGAUGUCGGCUCAUCACAUCCUGGGGCUGAAGUAGGUCCCAAGGGUAUGGCUGUUCGCCAUUUAAAGUGGUACGCGAGCUGGGUUUAGAACGUCGUGAGACAGUUCGGUCCCUAUCUGCCGUGGGCGCUGGAGAACUGAGGGGGGCUGCUCCUAGUACGAGAGGACCGGAGUGGACGCAUCACUGGUGUUCGGGUUGUCAUGCCAAUGGCACUGCCCGGUAGCUAAAUGCGGAAGAGAUAAGUGCUGAAAGCAUCUAAGCACGAAACUUGCCCCGAGAUGAGUUCU
rnacentral:rRNA from 1 species